AUCUUCAGGGCAGGGUGAGAUUCCCGACCGGCGGUGACAGUCCGCGAGCCUCACGGCAGACACGGUGCGAUUCCGUGACCGACAGUACAGUCUGGAUGGAAGAAGGUG
rnacentral:ncRNA from 1 species